rnacentral:rRNA from 1 species
GACGAACGCUGGCGGCGUGCCUAAUACAUGCAAGUCGAGCGCACGGGCGUGGUGCUUGUUCCUAUGAUGUUAGCAGCGGACGGGUGAGUAACACGUGGGUAAUCUACCUUUAAGACUGGGAUAACUUCGGGAAACCGGUGCUAAUACCGCAUAAUAUCUUGAACCACAAGGUUUAAAAGUGAAAGAUGCACUUGCUUCAACUAAUGAUGGUCUCCGCGCUGCAUUAGCUGUUUGUUAAGUUAACGGCUUACCAAGGCAACGAUGAAUAGCCGACUUGAGAGGGUGAUCGGCCACACUGGAACUGGGACACGGUCCAGACUCCUACGGGAGGCAGCAGUAGGGAAUCUUCCGCAAAGGGCGAAAGCCUGACGGAGCAACGCCGCGUGAGUGAUGAAGGUCUUCGGAUCGUAAAACUCUGUUAUUAGGGAAGAACAUAUGUGUAAGUAACUGUGCACAUCUUGACGGUACCUAAUCAGAAAGCCACGGCUAACUACGUG